AGAACCCGUCAGGGGAGUCUCGCCAAAGAGACUGAGAGGCUAAUAGCGCAAUGCGCGGCUUAGCGACCCUUAGAACCUGACCCAGUUGAUACUGGCGUAGGAAGACGGGUAUCUUUGCCA
rfam:Pantoea ananatis LMG 20103, complete genome.